rnacentral:rRNA from 1 species
GAUGAACGCUGGCGGCGUGCUUAACACAUGCAAGUCGAACGGAAAGGCUCCUGCUUGCAGGGGUACUCGAGUGGCGAACGGGUGAGUAACACGUGGGUGAUCUGCCCUGCACUUCGGGAUAAGCCUGGGAAACUGGGUCUAAUACCGGAUAGGACCACAUUUUGGAUGGUGUGGUGGAAAGUUUUUCGGUGUGGGAUGAGCUCGCGGCCUAUCAGCUUGUUGGUGGGGUAAUGGCCUACCAAGGCGUCGACGGGUAGCCGGCCUGAGAGGGUGUACGGCCACAUUGGGACUGAGAUACGGCCCAGACUCCUACGGGAGGCAGCAGUGGGGAAUGUUGCACAAUGGGCGCAAGCCUGAUGCAGCGACGCCGCGUGGGGGAUGACGGCCUUCGGGUUGUAAACUCCUUUCGCUAGGGACGAAGCGUUUUUGUGACGGUACCUGGAGAAGAAGCACCGGCUAACUACGUG